AGUGGGUGUAACGUACCUACUAGCCGACGACGGGUACGGGUUGUGAGAGCAAGAGCCCGGAGAUGGAUUCUGAGACAUGAAUCCAGGCCCUACGGGGCGCAGCAGGCGCGAAAACUUUACAAUGCGGGAAACCGCGAUAAGGGGACACUGAGUGCCAGCAUACAAUGUUGGCUGUCCGCAUGUAUAAAUAGCAUGUGUUAGCAAGGGCCGGGCAAGACCGGUGCCAGCCGCCGCGGUAACACCGGCGGCCCGAGUGGUGGCCACUAUUAUUGGGUCUAAAGGGUCCGUAGCCGGUUUGAUCAGUCUUCCGGGAAAUCUGACAGCUCAACUGUUAGGCUUCCGGGGGAUACUGUCAGACUUGGGACCGGGAGAGGUAAGAGGUACUACAGGGGUAGGAGUGAAAUCUUGUAAUCCUUGUGGGACCACCAGUGGCGAAGGCGUCUUACCAGAACGGGUCCGACGGUGAGGGACGAAGGCUGGGGGCACGAACCGGAUUAGAU
rnacentral:rRNA from 1 species